rnacentral:rRNA from 1 species
UACAGAGGUCUCAAGCGUUGUUCGGAUUCAUUGGGCGUAAAGGGUGCGUAGGCGGCGCGGUAAGUCGGGUGUGAAAUCUCGGAGCUUAGCUCCGAAACUGCAUUCGAUACUGCCGUGCUUGAGGACUGGAGAGGAGACUGGAAUUUACGGUGUAGCGGUGAAAUGCGUAGAUAUCGUAAGGAAGACCAGUGGCGAAGGCGGGUCUCUGGACAGUUCCUGACGCUGAGGCACGAAGGCCAGGGGAGCAAACGGG